rnacentral:rRNA from 1 species
AUACGGAGGGUGCAAGCGUUGUUCGGAAUCACUGGGCGUAAAGGGCGCGCAGGCGGUUUGGUAAGUCAGAUGUGAAAGCCCACGGCUCAACCGUGGAAGUGCAUUUGAAACUGUCAGACUUGAGUACUAGAGGGGAAAGUGGAAUUCCCGGUGUAGAGGUGAAAUUCGUAGAUAUCGGGAGGAACACCGGUGGCGAAGGCGACUUUCUGGCUAGAUACUGACGCUGAGGCGCGAAAGCGUGGGGAGCAAACAGGAUUAGAAACCCCAGUAGUCC